rnacentral:tRNA from 1 species
UUAGAAAGAUGGGUUUCGAACCCGUACCUAAGAAAUCAAAAUUCUUCGUAAUUCCAUUUUACUACUCUCU